UGCCAGAUCAGAGUAUCUGAAAAAGAGUCUCCCAAGAUUUUAUCUACUUCCUAUGGAAAUGGUGCCAAGAAACAGGAAGGUGCCCAGAAACAACCUAAGCUCCAGAACUUAUGAGGAAAAUAUGUCUGUUUUCUCCAAAUACUGGAAAAUCAUACAAUCUUCCAAUGACAUGAACAUAUCUGCAAAGAUGAACAGUUCCAAGAUGCAGGAAAGGGACAGGAGCCUGGG